CCUUGAGUAAAGUGGCGUACGGGUGAGUAACACGUGACUAACCUACCUCCGAAUGGGGAAUAACACCGGGAAACCGGUGCUAAUACCGCAUAACAUCUACGGAUCAAAGCAGCAAUGCGUUUGGAGAGGGGGUCGCGGCUGAUUAGCUAGUUGGUGGGGUAAUGGCCCACCAAGGCGACGAUCAGUAUCCGGCCUGAGAGGGCGCACGGACACACUGGAACUGAAACACGGUCCAG
rnacentral:rRNA from 1 species